rfam:Callithrix jacchus chromosome 8, whole genome shotgun sequence
GGGGGUAUAGCUCAGGGGUAGAGCAUUUAACUGCAGAUCAAGAGGUCCCUGGUUCAAAUCCAGGUGCCCCCU